rnacentral:tRNA from 1 species
AGAUAGGAAGCUACCUAGCAGUUAGCUGUUACCUAACCAAAAGUGGAACUAUCCACCCUCUCUA